rnacentral:rRNA from 1 species
GAGCGCAACCCUCGUUCCAUGUUGCCAGCGGGUUAUGCCGGGAACUCAUGGGAGACUGCCGGGGUCAACUCGGAGGAAGGUGGGGAUGACGUCAAAUCAUCAUGCCCCUUAUGUCUUGGGCUUCACGCAUGCUACAAUGGCCGGUACAAUGGGUUGCGAUACUGUGAGGUGGAGCUAAUCCCUAAAAGCCGGUCUCAGUUCGGAUUGGGGUCUGCAACUCGACCCCAUGAAGUCGGAGUCGCUAGUAAUCGCAGAUCAGCAANGCUGCGGUGAAUACGUUCCCGGGCCUUGUACACACCGCCCGUCAAGUCACGAAAGUUGGUAACACCCGAAGCCGAUGGCCUAACCACCUUGUGUGGGGGGAGUCGUCGAAGGUGGGACUGGCGAUUGGGACU